GAUAGAUAACUGUAUGUGUUGUCAGGUAAACUGAUAGAUAACUGUGUGUGUUGUCAGGUGUCAGGUAAGCUGAUAGAUAACUGUAUGUGUUGUCAGGUAAGCUGAUAGAUAACUGUAUGUGUUGUCAGGUAAACUGAUAGAUAACUGUAUGUGUUGUCAGGUAAGCUGAUAGAUAACUGUAUGUGUUGUCAGGUAAACUGAUAGAUGACUGUAUAUGUUGUCAGGUAAACUGAUAGAUAACUGUGUGUGUUGUCAGGUGUCAGGUAAACUGGUAGAUGACUGUAUGUGUUGUCAGGUGGUAAGCUGAUAGAUGACUGUGUGUGUUGUCAGGUAAGCUGAUAGAUAACUGUAUGUGUUGUCAGGUAAGCUGAUAGAUAACUGUAUGUGUUGUCAGGUAAACUGAUAGAUGACUGUAUAUGUUGUCAGGUAAACUGAUAGAUAACUGUGUGUGUUGUCAGGUGUCAGGUAAACUGGUAGAUGACUGUAUGUGUUGUCAGGUAAGCUGAUAGAUAACUGUAUGUGUUGUCAGGUGUCAGGUAAGCUGAUAGAUAACUGUAUGUGUUGUCAGGUAAACUGAUAGAUGACUGUAUAUGUUGUCAGGUAAACUGAUAGAUAACUGUGUGUGUUGUCAGGUAAGCUGAUAGAUAACUGUAUGUGUUGUCAGGUAAACUGAUAGAUGACUGUAUAUGUUGUCAGGUAAACUGAUAGAUAACUGUAUGUGUUGUCAGGUAAACUGAUAGAUAACUGUAUGUGUUGUCAGGUAAACUGAUAGAUAACUGUAUGUGUUGUCAGGUAAACUGAUAGAUAGAUGAC